GACGAACGCUGGCGGCGUGCUUAACACAUGCAAGUCGAGCGAUGAAGCUCCUUCGGGAGUGGAUUAGCGGCGGAUGGGUGAGUAACACGUGGGUAACCUGCCUCAUAGAGGGGAAUAGCCUUCCGAAAGGAAGAUUAAUACCGCAUAAGAUUGUAGUGUCGCAUGGCAUAGCAAUUAAAGGAGUAAUCCGCUAUGAGAUGGACCCGCGUCGCAUUAGCUAGUUGGUGAGGUAACGGCUCACCAAGGCGACGAUGCGUAGCCGACCUGAGAGGGUGAUCGGCCACAUUGGGACUGAGACACGGCCCAGAUCUCUUACGGGAGGCAGCAGUGGGGAAUAUUGCACAAUGGGGGAAACCCUGAUGCAGCAACGCCGCGUGAGUGAUGACGGUCUUCGGAUUGUAAAGGCUCCUGUCUUCCAGGGACCGAUAAUGACCGGUACCCUGAAUGACGAAGCCCACGGCUAACUACGUUGACCAGACAGACCGCGGUAAUACGUAGGGUGGCCAAGACGUUGUCCGGAUUACUGGGACGUUAAAGGGAGAGUAGGUGGAUAUUUAAGUGGGAUGUGAAAUACUCGGGAUUAACCUGGGUGCUGCAUUCCAAACUGGAUAUCUAGAGUGCAGGAGAGGAAAGUAGAAUUCCUAGUGUAGACGGUGAAAUGCGUAGAGAUUAGGAAGAAUACCAGUGGCGACAGCGACUUUCUGGACUGUAA
rnacentral:rRNA from 1 species